CCAAGAGCAUCAGCUCCACAGGUAUUGGCAUCGUCUUCUGUCCAAGCAGAUGUGCGGCCCAGAGUGCCAAAGUCAUUGCAUCUUACAGCUCAUGUUCAAGAGAAGACAGACAGAACUGAUUCUGGAAGCUCUUCUGGCAGAGUAAAGAAAACUUCCCAAAAAGCUGCUGACAAAUUUUGCCUUCAAUCUCUGGGGCCUAAAUUUGGCCACGUGCCCAUUUCUGACCCAAUCUGGCCCAGCCCUGGAGCUGGUGUGGGAUCUGCUUCCCUUCCCAAUACAUGGGAUCUUUGUGAAAGGGAAAGGGAACAAUAGCAUCCUCCUGGAAAUGAAGGAGGAGGUGAGCACCAUGCAGGGUGCACAGUCAACAAUGCCCAUGCCUGACUUUGUUGUCCAGUGGACUAGGGUGGGGAGCAGGGCACAGGAGGCCUUCCCAGGGAAUCCUUCUCAGGGUCAAUAUUGGCAAUUUCAUGCUGCUCAACCAAAUGCUGCCAAGAUGCUCUUCAGAAUGGCUAGACACAUUUCCACUCUAACUGAUAGCUUCAGGAUCCCUAUUUUUUCUCAUAUUCACCAGCACUUGGUAUUACUUAUUGUUUUAGGGUCUCCAGAGAGACAGAGCUAAUAGGAUAUACAUACAGAUAUAGGAAAGAGGAUUUAUUAGGAGAACUGGCUCAUGUGAUCACGGAGGCUGAGAAGUCCCAUGUUGGACCAUCUGUAAGCUGGAGAACCAGGGAAGCCAGUAGUGUUGCUCAGUCCAAGUCUAAAGGCCUCAAAACCAAGGUGUGAUUCUCAGUCCAAAGCCAAAGGCCCAAGAACGUGAGGGGCCGCUGGUAUAAAUCCUGGAGUCCCAAGGCUAAAGGCCCGAGAACCUGAGGGACCACCAGUGUAAGUCCUGGAGUCCCAAGGCCAUAGAGUCUGGAAUUAUGAUAUCUAAGGGCAGAAGGAGCAGAGAAUCCCCAGCUCUAGGAGAGAAAGGAGAAAUCCUAUACCCUCUUUUUUUGUUCUAUUCCAGCCCCCAGCAGAUUGGAUGGUGCUGACCACAUGAGGGCAGAUCUUCCUCACUCAGUCCAUUGACUCACACACCAGUCUCCUCCAUAGGCACCCUCCCAUACACAACCAGAAGUCAUCUUUACAAGUAAUGCUUUACUAGUUCUCUAAGUAUUCCUCACACUUACUUUUCCAAUGUUUAAAGACCUGAUAGGCAUUAAAAGAAUCUCAAUAUUGCUUCAAUUUGCACUCUUCUAAAUUCUGGCAAGAUUAGUCAUUUCAUCAGGUAUUAGUUAGCCAGCUCAUUUCCUGUCCAGCAAAUUGGCUAUUCAUAGCCUUUGCCAAUUUUUCUAGUGAGUUUCCUACCCAUUUCCCUUGUAGUCUAGAUCAGGAGUUGACACAGGUUUUUUUUUUUUUUUUUUUUUUUUUUGGUUGGUUUUGUUUUUUGUAAAGGGCUAG
rnacentral:lncRNA from 10 species